rnacentral:rRNA from 1 species
GGUGGCGAUCAUACCAGCACUAAUGCACCGGAUCCCAUCAGAACUCCGCAGUUAAGCGUGCUUGGGCGAGAGUAGUACUAGGAUGGGUGACCCCCUGGGAAGUCCUCGUGUUGCAACCC